rnacentral:misc_RNA from 1 species
UCAGCAAGACGGGCACUGC